UGGAAGUCGAACGGAGAAUUUAUUUCGGUAAAUUCUUAGUGGCGAACGGGUGAGUAACGCGUAGGCAACCUGCCCUUUGGAUGGGGACAACAUUCCGAAAGGAGUGCUAAUACCGAAUGUGAUCCAUUUCUCGCAUGAGAGAUGGAUGAAAGAUGGCCUCUAUUUAUAAGCUAUCGCCAAAGGAUGGGCCUGCGUCUGAUUAGUUAGUUGGUGGGGUAACGGCUCACCAAGACGAUGAUCAGUAGCCGGUCUGAGAGGAUGAACGGCCACAUUGGGACUGAGACACGGCCCAAACUCCUACGGGAGGCAGCAGUGGGGAAUCUUCCGCAAUGGACGAAAGUCUGACGGAGCAACGCCGCGUGAGUGAUGAAGGUUUUCGGACUGUAAAACUCUGUUGUCAGGGACGAAGGUGCGAUCUGCGAAUAGUUGAUCGUAUUGACGGUACCUGACGAGGAAGCCACGGCUAACUACGUGCCAGCAGCCGCGGUAAUACGUAGGUGGCAAGCGUUGUCCGGAAUUAUUGGGCGUAAAGAGCAUGUAGGUGGGCUUUUAAGUCCGAUGUGAAAAUGCGGGGCUCAACCCCGUAUGGCAUUGGAUACUGGAAGUCUUGAGUG
rnacentral:rRNA from 1 species